CACAAGUUCAAGCAGGUUUUCUUUCUUUCAGGUUUGAGAAAAAGACAAAACAUGUCACGCCUGUGGCUGGAAGUGUGUAUUUUUCAGAGGGGGCAUCUGUGGCUGGCAAGGCUCACAAGGCAUGGAAAGUCCUUGGGAUCAGGAGAGAAGUCAUGGAGGAUGCAACUGGUCUCCUUGCAGCCCCUUUCACUUGGCUGUGGGUAUCCCUCUGCUUGUUUCAGCACAACUUCCAUUCAGUGCAUGGAUGAACCUCUGUUGUUAACCAAGAACAGAAGACCCGAAAUCAUCCAGAACUCCUUAUGUUCACCACAACUGCAAACUGAAACAACUGCAGACAGCAAUGCUGAACUGUCAAAGCAUAUCAUAGAAAAAAACAAGGAAGAUACUUCUCCUUGGUAAGCAGAGGUAUGACAUUUCUUAUGUGUCUUUCUGGCUUCAUUUUUAAGAAGCAAAACAAACCAGCCCCACAUAUACUCUUCU